GAUGAACGCUGGCGGCGUGCCUAAUACAUGCAAGUCGAGCGAACGGACGAGAAGCUUGCUUCUCUGAUGUUAGCGGCGGACGGGUGAGUAACACGUGGAUAACCUACCUAUAAGACUGGGAUAACUUCGGGAAACCGGAGCUAAUACCGGAUGAUAUUUUGAACCGCAUGGUUCAAAAGUGAAAGACGGUCUUGCUGUCACUUAUAGAUGGAUCCGCGCCGCAUUAGCUAGUUGGUAAGGUAACGGCUUACCAAGGCAACGAUGCAUAGCCGACCUGAGAGGGUGAUCGGCCACACUGGAGCUGAGCCGCGGUCCAGACUCCUACGGGAGGCAGCAGUAGGGAAUCUUCCGCAAUGGGCGAGAGCCUGACGGAGCAACGCGGCGUGAGUGAUGAAGGUCUUCGGAUCGUAAAACUCUGUUAUUAGGGAAGAACAUAUGUGUAAGUAACUGUGCACAUCUUGACGGUACCUGAUCAGAAAGCCACGGCUAACUACGUG
rnacentral:rRNA from 1 species